UAAUUUUUACUAACCUUCAAUUUUUCGUAUUAGUUAUUAGUGUAAUAUUCUUACUGGGUUAGUGUAGUUCAUCCCCUUAUUUAACCAUUUUAGAUCAACAAGAUUAAGAUCUAGAUCCUGAAUAGUAAGAUAGUUGCGAGUAAAUGUUACCUCGCGGACUCCUCAAAAUUAUUAAUGGAGGUUAACCCCAUAGAGUUUUUAUUUAUUUGGUUUU
rnacentral:lncRNA from 1 species